GCAAAUAAAUAAAUCAAACAAAGUUAAAAAUUAAAAUAAUGUCCAUUCCGAAUUAUACAGUCCCAAAAAUAGAAAAAUACGGAAAUGUAAAUUCUAUUCUAAACUAAUCCUAGACUAAGCUCUACCCGAAUCCUCGGGCCUUGAUCACAAACCUUCUUUGCGUACAUGAUACUUCGAGAUAUUCCCCGGUGAAUAAGUACUAUGUGGCCUUCGGGAAUUCCCCGGCUAAUGAGUAUAGUUUCAAGUCUUGUACGAUAAAAUAGAAAGAACCAUUCACACACACAUUCAAUCAUUCAACAAAAAUAGCAUUCCUAAAUUAGCCUACCCAACCUAGAAAUUGCCUACUAGUUUCGAUCUAAAGCAUGAUAUUAUCAAACUUAGCAAAUCAGACGCCUAUUUUUUGUAUCAAACAAACAUCAAUUAAUCAAUACAAAUUAAUCACGUUCAUUUUAUCCGUUUUCAAUUCUCACCCCCCAAAUCCAUUCUCAACAUGAUUAAACCAAUUCAAUACGUAAUCUAACAAUCAAGUAAAUCUACAAUCCAUCAACACAAGUAAUUAUCCAUAACCAAUGGAGAUCAACCCAACACAAAUCACGACAUUAUUACCACGCUAAAAAACACAAAAAGAAAUAGAGUUGAAAAAUUGAACCUCAACUUGACGCUUUAUUUCUUCAAUUAAAUAGAGGAGCUUCACGGAUUCGGAACCUCAAACUAACCGGACUUUGAACAAACCCGAACUCUACUAUUUUGGAGCUAGAACAGUGUUGAUUCCAAAGAGAAUUUUUCACCCCCAUCACUGUUUCUCUCUUUUUCUAGCGUGUCUUCAACAUAAUCUCAUCGGGAUGAACGAUUUUGGUUGGAAAUGGAUGGUAACUGACUGGAAGGUAUUGUAUUUGACUGGAACUGACUCAACAGAGUCAAUUUUGGUGUAAAAUUGGACUUGACAUGGGAGGAACAGUUUCACCGAUCACUGUUUUCCCGUCAUGGUGUGACCUAAAAUAGUAUACUGGGUUGUUAUAGCUUAUUCGAAGCUCCAGCAAGAGGUCCCAAUGCUAGAACAGUAACGACGUCGAUAGUGGGUCAUUAAUUUUUCACUCGAUUUCCCUCUCUCCUUAUUUGGAUCCAUUAUUAUUUCUCUCUCACCCUCACUAUGUUGCUCUCUGUUCACUGUGUGUGUAUGAAUCUGGUAAGGUGAGUGUGUGUAUGUUCUCAUGAAGGUGAGAGUAUCGGUUUGUGCUGUGUGAGUAUAAGAAUUUGUUGCUAUGAUGUGUAGCAUGGAAAAGAAUUCCUAUCAGGUGUAUUGUUACUGUAUGGUUUUAAAGAAUGAAACAAUGGAGUGUUUUGUGAAAUAAUAAAUGAAGAAAAUAGAAGCUUGAUCUCUAUUUUCUAAACUAUUAUAUAUAGAUUUGUGUGGUCUGCGUAUUGUUGUUGAGUGGAAAAAAAAAAAGUGAGGGGUAGGGGUUAGGUGGGGUAGCGAGGGUAGGAUGAGAUAAAAUUUGUUAUGAAUUUGUUGAGAGUUGGUUGUUAUUUUUGUCAUUUUGUGAAAAAAUUAUCAACUAAAAAAAGGGUGUAUGGUAAGGUGGUAAAUGAGUAAAAAAAAUGAUUUCGAGGAGGGACAAAAUUACGUGUCUACAUUAUAC
rnacentral:lncRNA from 1 species